rnacentral:rRNA from 1 species
UGGGGAAUAUUGCACAAUGGGGGAAACCCUGAUGCAGCGACGCCGCGUGAGCGAUGAAGGCUUUCGAGUCGUAAAGCUCUGUCCUAUGGGAAGAUAAUGACGGUACCAUAGAAGAAAGCCCCGGCUAAUUACGUGCCAGCAGCCGCGGUAAUACGUAAGGGGCGAGCGUUGUCCGGAAUUAUUGGGCGUAAAGAGUGCGUAGGCGGCAAAUUAAGUCAGAUGUGAAAACUAAGGGCUCAACCCAUAGAUUGCAUCUGAAACUGAUAUGCUGGAGUCAAGGAGAGGAAAGUGGAAUUCCUAGUGUAGCGGUGGAAUGCGUAGAUAUUAGGAGGAAUACCGGUGGCGAAGGCGACUUGCUGAGCACAAUCUGACGCUAAGGAACGAAAGCGUGGGGAGCAAACAGG